ensembl:snoRNA
AAGCCAGUCAAUGAAUCUGCUUACCUGAUUGUGUUUCUGCAGAAAUUUUUUAUAACUGGCGAUAGCAAUGCCACGUUACGAGCCUUAAUGACGUUAGGGUCUUUAAGGUCCCUGAAAGUGGCUAUAUAA